CGGACUUCAGGAGACUUUAUUUCUUUUAUGCAAGUGUUGGGAGAACAAAUGAUGCACUCAUCUUAGAAGGAAAAUGUCGACAUAGAAUUGAAGAUAGACUAGGCAGCUUACCAGAAGAUCUUUGCAAGCAUAUUAUGUGUAUACUCCCUAUACAAUCUGCAGUAAGAACUUGCAGUUUGUUAAAAAAGUGGAUAUACACCUAUGAGUCUCUUACUAUUCUUGUAUUUGAUUCUUUUCAAUUUGCUGCUGUUGAAAUAGACUUGACCGUUUUGUGGAAUUCAUAGACCAGACGUUAUUGCAUCAUGAUGACUCAGAUUAUCAGCCAUCAAAUUAAAAUUAUGUAGAGGAAGAGCACACAUCAUCUUAAAGACCAAAUGGAUUGACUUUGCUUU
rnacentral:lncRNA from 1 species